UGGGUAGCAGAGCAGAGGAGAUAAACCAAAGUUAAUUGGACCAUUCCACGAAGUUCCAGUACUUGGUGAUACAUCAAUCAUUAUAAAUUAUGCAGAAACCAAAAACUCAGGUCACAGUCUGCCCCCUCUGCAACAUUCUCAGCCUCCGGUGAAGCAAACCCCAGUACCCCAAACCCUCGAAUUUGGAUGUAAAGAAGUAAGAGUUCAAGGAAUUUUCUUAAAACUUCCCCAAGUCAUUCUCAAGGCUAGUAAUCGCAUGAAUGCUGGCACUACUAAUUUCCUUUGUGAAAAGUAGUGAUGGGAAGGAAGACUACUCCACUUCGCAACAAGUUGCUCGAGCUGAGGGUAAACUUUGUGUGAUCAGCAGAAAUCAUGGGUCUGGAAAAAUAAUGAUCAAGAUUUAGACAACUUGACAUACAAGGAAGAGAGAAAUAAAGAAUACCUAAUGCUAGGUUUACCUGUUUUAGGCGAAUUCUCUAAUGUCAAGAAAGCUGACCCCAACCCAACGAUUUUAUAAACGAGUACAGUCCGUGUCAGUGAGAUUCGGCAGCUAGUGACACAAAUGAUAGAAAAGGUGAUUUUAUAAAGGAAAUGAAGGGCUUUAUAGAGGAAUGUGAAGAGGAGCAAACAAGGGAAUUUUACCAAGCAGGAGCUUCCAAGGAAAAAGGAUGCACCCACUACAAAUCUUUAUAUUCCUAGACAUGGUUGAUCAAGCUUGUAUUGACAUUGCAAGGAAACUUCAGAAGAAGAAUGUAAGGACUGUAGAAAUCAUCACAACCACUUCCAC
rnacentral:lncRNA from 1 species